AACGAACGCUGGCGGCAGGCUUAACACAUGCAAGUCGAACGCCCCGCCAGGGGAGUGGCAGACGGGUGAGUAACGCGUGGGAACAUACCCUUUUCUACGGAAUAGCUCUGGGAAACUGGAAUUAAUACCGUAUACGCCCUACGGGGGAAAGAUUUAUCGGGGAAGGAUUGGCCCGCGUUGGAUUAGCUAGUUGGUGGGGUAAAGGCCUACCAAGGCGACGAUCCAUAGCUGGUCUGAGAGGAUGAUCAGCCACAGUGGGACUGAGACACGGCCCAAACUCCUACGGGAGGCAGCAGUGGGGAAUAUUGGACAAUGGGCGCAAGCCUGAUCCAGCCAUGCCGCGUGAGUGAUGAAGGCCUUAGGGUUGUAAAGCUCUUUCACCGAUGAAGAUAAUGACGGUAGUCGGAGAAGAAGCCCCGGCUAACUUCGUG
rnacentral:rRNA from 1 species